rnacentral:rRNA from 1 species
AACGAGCGCUGGCGGCAUGCCUAACACAUGCGAGUCGAACGAGACCUUCGGGUCUAGUGGCGCACGGGUGCGUAACGCGUGGGAACCUGCCCUUAGGUUCGGAAUAACUCCCCGAAAGGGGUGCUAAUACCGGAUAAUGUCUUCGGACCAAAGAUUUAUCGCCUUUGGAUGGGCCCGCGUUGGAUUAGCUAGUUGGUAGGGUAAAAGCCUACCAAGGCGACGAUCCAUAGCUGGUCUGAGAGGAUGAUCAGCCACACUGGGACUGAGACACGGCCCAGACUCCUACGGGAGGCAGCAGUGGGGAAUAUUGGACAAUGGGCGAAAGCCUGAUCCAGCAAUGCCGCGUGAGUGAUGAAGGCCUUAGGGUUGUAAAGCUCUUUUACCCGGGAUGAUAAUGACAGUACCGGGAGAAUAAGCUCCGGCUAACUCCGUG